GACUUAAAAUGAAAAACUCAUAUUUUUGAUACCACAAAUCAAUAUUUUAUAUAAAUUAUUCAAG
rnacentral:tRNA from 1 species